UACCCGAAUUGACCACCACACCCUCACACUAUACCACCCCACCUCCACCCAAAAUUUCAUUUUAUUUUAAUGGUUAAACCCCCUCCCCCUCCCCCCCCCCCCGAUUUUAUUUUUUUUCGCAUUUUUUUUCCCCUUUUUUUGAAAAUAAUGUCAUAAAUGUCCACAUUCCCAUGCUAUACACCCCUCUUCACUCCACCCCUCCCUCCUUUGUGAUUGAAAAUGAGAGUCCCUUCACCUUUAAAAAGAAAAUAGAUGAGCGGUCUGCACCCGCAAGGCGGUGCUCUUGUUUAUAUCUAUUUCUUAAUAUUUUUCAGUAGUAAUAAUGUCUAAGAAUGUAUCUGGGUAGAAUGAAUAUCUGUUCUUUUAAAGGUUGUAACUGAUGCUCUAUUUCUUUUGGACAUGACAUGUUACUGUCUCGUUUGUACAGAGAUUCAAUUAAAUACUACAUUUUAUUAUGUGUGAUUCUAUUUUUGUGUUCCAAAUAGGCAGUCUGACAUAUUAGGUAUAUUGAAAACUCUUACAUAUAACAUUUGUAAGUAUCUGUUAUUAAUGACAGUUAAAUGAAACAAUGGUUGUAUAGUUGUGUAUAUUACAAAGUAUAAUUAUUGUUAUAUUUCGAAAUUAGAAUUAUGUUUAUAUUUUAAUUCACAUACACUUUCAACUAUAAUUUGUAAUAGUGCCGUUGCUACUUAAAUUUUAUGUGGUUUGGAUGCACACUGUUAUAUUCUAUGCUCCUUCAAAAUACAAUUAAGGUUUCACCUUAACGGUUAUAACGCGAGUGAAAAGCAAUAUACACUGUUAUCAUGUGAUUUAAAACAAGUUUUGUUCAAUUAUCUGUAAAGUUCAUUCAUAACUAUUUUAUAACAUGUCUGCUUAAUCCACUUACUAUAUUCAAGCAUUUUGCAUUAUUGUUUUUGUUUAACACUAGAAACUGUUAAGUAAGGUAUAUAUCUUGUUGUAACUUUAAUUGCAUUUAUUAUGUACUGCAUAUUAAUUGUUGGGAUAGUUCCGCAUAUGUAACAUGUUUUUAUUCACGUGUUUUUAUGUCCCCCACUAUAGUAGUGGGGGACAUAUUGUAUUUGCCCUGUCUGUUGGUCUGUUGGUCUGUCUGUCUGUUUGCGCCAACUUUAUUAUUUUGCAAUAACUUUAACUAUAUUGAAGAUAGCAACUUCAUAUUUGGCAUGCAUGUGUAUCUCAUGAAGCUGCACAUUUUGAGUGGUGAAAGGUCAAGGUCAUCCUUCAAGGUCAGAGGACAAAUAUAUGUGGCCCAAAUCGCUUAUUUUAUAAAUACUUUUGCAAUAUUGAAGAUAGCAACUUGAUAUUUGGCAUGCAUGUGCAUCUCAUGGAGCUGCACAUUUUGAGUGGUGAAAGGUCAAGGUCAAGGUCAUCCUUCACAAGGUCAAGGUCAUCCUACAAGGUCAAACAUCAUAUAGGGGGACAUUGUGUUUCACAAACGCAUCUUGUUUAAUCUGUCUUUGUGUUUUAACGGUCGCCUUUAAUGGACUGUCAAAACUGUGUUUGAAUGUAUUUAAUCAAUUGCCAUUAUUAUCUUUUUAAUGAAGGUUAUAUUAUAGUAUCGUGUCUGUUCCUAGAUGUAUUCUACGACAAUAUGGCUGCAUUUUUAGAACUGUUAUGCACUGAUUUACAACUAUUAUGUCACAUUAAAUACUGUACUUGUAACAUCUAUAUUUUCAUAGAGCAUAUUACAUGACCUUUUGACCAUCUACAUUUUUUAUUGCGUAGGUGGUCUGUUUAUGGUUUAUGAAAUGCUUGUUUUUAAUAUCAAACGCAACCAGUUAAAACAUUUUGUUUCUCGUGUUUGUUUAACUACAGACACCUUUUCAUAAUGUCAUAAUAUCAGUUUCAUUAAAUAAUAUAUUGUACUAUGUGCAGAGCCUUUGAGCUGCCUAUAUUUUUGUUUCGCAAAGGUAGCAAGCAAGGGCUAAUUCUUAUGAAAUUGAUACAAGCAUGAAAAAAGCAUAAUUGAUAUUUAGUUAAAUACUGUUUGCUAUCACGUGAAACGAAAUUUGUUACGCGGGGUAAGUAAAACGUGUUAUUAUUGUGACAAUUGUCAUGUGAAGACCCAAUAUAUGUACAAUAUGCUUAUUUGAUAUUUUGUUGUCAUAAUUAAGCUCCAUUACAAAUGAUGUAAUACGACCUAUUCAAUUACAUAUAUACUAUCAAUGGUUAUUAAUAUAAUUAUACCUAUAUUUAUGCCCCUCUUCGAAGAAGAGGGGGUAUAUUGCUUUGCUCAUGUCGGUCGGUCUGUUGGUCGGUCGGUCCGUACACCAGGUGGUUUCCGGAUGAUAACUCAAUAACGCUUGGGCCUAGGAUCAUGAAACUUCAUAGGAACAUUGAUCUUUACUCGCAGAUGACCCCUAUUGAUUUUUAGGUCACAAGGUCAAAGGUCAAGGUCACAGUGACAAAAAUCAUAUACACACAAUGGCUGCCACUACAACGGACAGUCCAUAUGGGGGGCAUGCAUGUUUUACAAACAGCCCUUGUUUUUAUAUUGCAUUAAAUUGAGUUUAUUAGCCUCAUACACUCUGACGCACUUAGGAUAUAUUUAAUUACAUGUAUACUUUCGAUAAUUAUUUAUGUUCUAGUGUAAUGUAUAAUAACUCAUAAUGUAUAAUAAUUCAUGUAUGCACCGUUGUAACCAAACGAUUUUAUUUCUUUGCAUAACUUUAUUUUGUAUAAACAUAAACUGUGUAUUGUGGAAACACUGUAUCAUGUAUGCUUGAUUUGUCCACUUGGGCUUUUGGCUUUCUGGAUGGAUUGUUUAAUAAACUAUGUUCUAAAAAAUGCAAA